rnacentral:rRNA from 1 species
AAGGAAUAUUGGACAAUGGGCGGAAGCCUGAUCCAGCCAUGCCGCGUGAAGGAUGAAGGCGCUCAGCGUUGUAAACUUCUUUUGGAUGGGGACAAUAAUCUCGAUUUAUCGGGACUUGUGGGUACCAUCAGAAUAAGCACCGGCUAACUCCGUGCCAGCAGCCGCGGUAAUACGGAGGGUGCAAGCGUUAUCCGGAAUCACUGGGUUUAAAGGGUGCGUAGGCUGUUAGAUAAGUCAGUUGUGAAAUUCCCCGGCUUAACCGGGUGAACUGCGAUUGAUACUGUUUAACUUGAAUGAGGUUGAGGUAGGCGGAAUGUGGCAUGUAGCGGUGAAAUGCUUAGAUAUGCCAUAGAACACCGAUUGCGAAGGCAGCUUGCUGGGCCUUCAUUGACGCUGAGGCACGAAAGCGUGGGGAGCAAAC